rnacentral:rRNA from 1 species
GAUGAACGCUGGCGGCGUGCCUAAUACAUGCAAGUCGAGCGAACAGACGAGGAGCUUGCUCCUCUGACGUUAGCGGCGGACGGGUGAGUAACACGUGGAUAACCUACCUAUAAGACUGGGAUAACUUCGGGAAACCGGAGCUAAUACCGGAUAAUAUAUUUAACCGCAUGGUUCAAUAGUGAAAGACGGUUUUGCUGUCACUUAUAGAUGGAUCCGCGCCGCAUUAGCUAGUUGGUAAGGUAACGGCUUACCAAGGCAACGAUCCGUAGCCGACCUGAGAGGGUGAUCGGCCACACUGGAACGGAGACACGGUCCAGACUCCUACGGGAGGCAGCAGUAGGGAAUCUUCCGCAAUGGGCGAAAGCCUGACGGAGCAACGCCGCGUGAGUGAUGAAGGUCUUCGGAUCGUAAAACUCUGUUAUUAGGGAAGAACAAAUGUGUAAGUAACUAUGCACGUCUUGACGGUACCUAAUCAGAAAGCCACGGCUAACUACGUG